GAUGAACGCUGGCGGCGUGCCUAAUACAUGCAAGUAGAACGCUGACGGCGGAGCUUGCUCUUCUGGAUGAGUUGCGAACGGGUGAGUAACGCGGAGGUAACCUGCCUGGUAGCGGGGGACAACGAUUGGAAACGAUAGAUAAUACCGCAUGACAACAGUUAUUGCAUGAUAACUAUCUGAAAGGGGCAACUGCUCCACUACCAGAUGGACCUGCGUUGUAUUAGGUAGUUGGUGAGGUAACGGCUCACCAAGGCGACGAUACAUAGCCGACCGGAGAGGGGGAGGAGCCACACUGGGACUGGGACAGGGCCCAGACCCCUACGGGAGGCAGCAGUAGGGGUUCUGCGGAAAGAGACGGAAGUCUGACCGUGCAACGCCGAGGUAGUGAAGAAGGUUUUCGGAUCGUAAAGCUCUGUUGUCAGAGAAGAACGAGUGUGGGGGUGGAAAGGUCACUCUGUGACGGUAUCUUAUCAGAAAGGGACGGCUAACUACGUG
rnacentral:rRNA from 1 species